AGCAAUGUAAGAAAUCUUAAGAAAAUAUUGUUAGAACCCUCUGCAAUGUCUUUUUGAUUAGUCCAGAGUUUGUUUCCAGGUGAUGUCCAACAUAAUCAUUCCCUGUUUGAAAACUGAGAGCACCUGUGGAUAGACAAAUCCUUUGAAGUCCCUUCAACCCUACAUGGCCUUCAGUGAUUUCUCUGAAACCUUGAUCCAUUCUUCAGUUGGACUGAUGGUCAUUUCGAAGAUGCAUUGCAACUUAAAAUAGAACUGCAUUACAAGGGAGAAUCCUCUUGGAAUUUGAUGUUCAUCACCUGGAUCAUCAAAGCUCAAUUAAAGAAGAUGUGUAAGAAGAUCCUUAAGAAGAUGCGAGAACCGCAUAUGCAUUGUGAAUGGUAUGGCAAAGGUAGACUAAGCACAUAUAUUCUUCUCAUUAAAAGUGCACUCUUUGCAGUCUAAAUCAAGAACAUUUGAAAAUAAA